rnacentral:tRNA from 1 species
AGCUCAGUUGGUUGGAGCAUGGUACUGAUAAUGCCAAAGUGGUAGGUUUGAUUCCUGC